rnacentral:rRNA from 1 species
GCUUAGACGUUAACACGACACCCCUCCCACAUCGGUGUUCGCCAGAGAAAUACUAGCGAAAAGCUUAAAACUCAAAGGACUUGGCGGUGCUCCACCCCGACUUAGAGGAGCCUGUCCUAUAAUCGAUAAUCCACGAUAAACCUUACCAUUUUUUGCCACAUCAGCCUAUAUACCGCCGUCACCAACUUACCCCAUGAGGGCCCAAAAGUAAGUACAACAGUUUAACAACUAAAACGUCAGGUCAAGGUGUAGCUAAUAAAAUGGAAGCGAUGGGCUACAUUUUUUAAUAUAAAACAUACGGCAAAGUGCCAUGAAACCGACACUAGAAGGUGGAUUUAAUAGUAAGAUAAGCGAGAAGACUUAUCUUAAACCCGCUCUGGAGCGCGC